AUGGGACAUGUCGCCGUCUCGAUUUCCAUGGCACAGACAGCGGCGGAGAAAGUCUUGAUGGCUGAGCACGGAGAUUGGCAAGGCGGAGGGGGCCUUGAAGGCGGUGGAGUCAGUCAGAUGUAUGAUAAAUUUCAAUACCAACAGCGUCAAGUGGGGGCGACAACACUGAAGGAUUUCAUUUUCGAUGGUGCUCCUCGGAUGGCGAGUCAUGACUUUGAAGAUGAAGACCUAAGAUCUAGCCUUUAUUGGUUGUGCCUGGCAAUUACCUUGUUGAAGGUAUUUUUUUUAGAGCUCCGUCUUUCUCCGGGGUGA
rnacentral:rRNA from 1 species